rnacentral:rRNA from 1 species
UACAGAGGUCUCAAGCGUUGUUCGGAUUCAUUGGGCGUAAAGGGUGCGUAGGCGGCGCGGUAAGUCGGGUGUGAAAUCUCGGAGCUUAACUCCGAAACUGCAUUCGAUACUGCCGUGCUUGAGGACUUGGAGAGGAGACUGGAAUUUACGGUGUAGCUGGUGAAAUGCGUAGAUAUCGUAAGGAAGACCAGUGGCGAAGGCGGGUCUCUGGACAGUUCCUGACGCUGAGGCACGAGGGUCAGGGGAGCAAACGGG